UACAGAGGUCCCAAGCGUUGUUCGGAUUCACUGGGCGUAAAGGGCGCGUAGGCGGUCCGGUAAGUCUGAUGUGAAAUCUCACAGCUUAACUGUGAAACUGCAUUGGAUACUAUCCGGCUAGAGGAAUGGAGGGGAGACUGGAAUACUUGGUGUAGCAGUGAAAUGCGUAGAUAUCAAGUGGAACACCAGUGGCGAAGGCGAGUCUCUGGACAUUUCCUGACGCUGAGGCACGAAAGCCAGGGGAGCAAACGGG
rnacentral:rRNA from 1 species